AUCAAAGCUGGCGGGACUCGGCCUCUCUGGCUUUUCGUCUGAGAUAAACACUACUUCACCUAAGAGACUUGAGUAUCCAGUUCUUCGUUGACCUUCAGCAUUCAGUUGUUUGUCUUCACCUUUUCAGGCUAAAACCUGAGAAGCCAUCACCAUGUUGUUGUUUCACAUCAGAAUAAGUAUUUCACAUGAUGCAGAUUUUUCAGCAUGUGGUCCUGAAUAUAUAGUAUAGAAGUCACUGUAUUUUCUGACUUUUCCAGGUUUCCUGUGUCCAGCAUCUUCAAGACAGACUAAGCUAACUUUUCAUAUUUUUUGCACAUUUAUAUUUAGGUUAGGUUAGGAGUAGGUUACGUUUAUAGUAGAGUAUUUAGUUUGUAUAGUUUAGCUUUUUAUGCUGGUCUAGGGACAGUUAAGUUAGCAAAUUAAUUUAGUUCAGAUCACUUACAGUUGCAUAUUAUUGUUACAAUUGUGUUAUCUUGUGAGUUAUUGUUGUACAGGCUAUUGUAUAUUGCAGGACCAAGUGAGACGAGGAAGACCACUGCUUCCAAGAUGCCGCGCUCAGAAAGUGCGUUGGACAAGUCUCGACCUUGCAGAUCCUGCCCCACUUAGCCCAAGCACUUCCGACCAUGGGGUACCUCAAAGACCUCCGUCAACCAGCCGGCUGUGGAUGAUGGAUAACG